rnacentral:piRNA from 1 species
UGCCAGAAACCAGAAAAAACU